UGUAGUGUGUGAUAUUAAACUUUAGUAUAAUCAGUCUUGAUAUGUAAAUCUCUCAGUUAUGAAUGCCUCUCUGUGUUGUUGUUCCAAGCAUUUGAAUAAUAAAAUAAUAAUAAUAACAAAAGCGAGCCAUCAGUCAAGAAACAAGCGACGUUCCUUAUGAGUUUGAAUCACUGAAUCAUUCACUAGAAUGAAUCAUUCAAAAUACACUGAUUCAAUUUACCGAUUCAAAACGGUCAACGGUUGGCUAGCUUUUCUUCGCUUGGAUUAUUUUUGUUGGUGCAGCUAAAUUAGGCAAAGUACUGGCGAUAUUGUGUCUAAAAUCUGGCCAGAAAAGUCUUCCCAGAAAUGAUCAAUCAUUUGUCUAAAAGCUGGCCUGACAACAUACCCGUUGCCAUAAACCAAGAAAAUCUACAACAAAUGUAACGUUACCUCUGCAGUACACUGGAGAUUUGGCAUGAUGAGGAAUGAGAUCUGUCUACAGUAGGAGCAGAAGGGACGUUUGGACCUACUGCCAGCAGACUGUAACAGACAGAUGGGUUUCCACACAAACAACAGAAAACAUCAAGAGCAGUCAGGCUGGCACACACAGAAGAAGAAUCAGCAAAGGGGAGAAAGUCUGGAUAAUGAGGCACUGCUAGCAGGAGAUGAUAAUUCACUUUGUUCUGUGAGAAGACAAACUGUCCACUCCGUUUAGAGUUCAAAUCUGUAGUUGCAAAGCCAUAUGGAUAUCUGAUACACAAACUGUGAUCUGACUGCAUUGAAACAUAAUAACCAGCAGAUGUCAGGCAAACAUCAGAAUCCUUUUGAUAUCACGGCAUCAGAAACGCAUAUCAAUGAAUUUUUGCAAGCUAAGGACAAUACCAAAUCUGGCAUUACAUACAAGCGGUCAGUCCUCUCACCAGUAGAAGGCAGGUGUCUACAAGGCAGAACGUCCCAGAGCGGCCAAUACCAGCGCUGCAGUGGACCACCACAGG